GACGAACGCUGGCGGCGUGCCUAAUACAUGCAAGUAGAACGCACAGUUUAUACCUUAGCUUGCUACACCAUAGACUGUGAGUUGCGAACGGGUGAGUAACGCGUAGGUAACCUGCCUGGUAGCGGGGGAUAACUAUUGGAAACGAUAGCUAAUACCGCAUAAUAUUAAUUAUUGCAUGAUAAUUAAUUGAAAGGUGCAAUUGCACCACUACCAGAUGGACCUGCGUUGUAUUAGCUAGUAGGUGAGGUAACGGCUCACCUAGGCGACGAUACAUAGCCGAACGGAGAGGGGGGUCGGCCACCCUGGGACUGAGACACGGCCCAGACUCCUACGGGAGGGAGCAGUAGGGAAUCGUCGGCAAUGGACGAAAGUCUGACCGAGCAACGCCGAGUGAGUGAAGAAGGUGUUCGGAUCGUAAAGCUCUGUUGUAAGAGAAGAACGGGUGUGAGAGUGGAAAGUUCACACUGUGACGGUAUCUGACCAGAAAGGGACGGCUAACUACGUG
rnacentral:rRNA from 1 species